CGCCAUCGGCUGCUUCCGGUCUUUCCUCGGCCCCUUCGCCUUCCUUCUUCUCAGUUCCGCACGAAGUCUGCUCCAGUUCUGUCCUUGCUCUUGUCAUUCCUUUCCUCGGCGCCUCCGCUCUGCGUGCCCCAUCUUCCUCUGCUCUGUCUUGGCACGGCACACCACCUUCAGCUGCCGCGUCGUCCGCUGCUUCCUUGUCCUGUACCUCAUCGUCCUUUGCGAGCGUUCUCUUCUUUCCUCCCGAUGCCGCAACAGCCGGCGCGGCUGGCUCCUCCUGCUACGUGUGGUCGGCCCGAGGCGACGCUCCGGCACCUCCGCCGCUCCUUCCCCCACCCUCACGUGCUCUCCCUUUCUCUCUCCCGACAACCGCGCCCGUGUCUGCUCCGAGCAAACCCUAAGUGCCACUCUUCAUCUCUCCCCCCUCUCUCAGGCCCAACAUGGGCAGUGCGGCGGCACGGCCUACCUCUCGCUCUCCCCAGUGCGCGUGACAGCCAGAUGGCCAGCGGCACGCGACCGGUGGCCGCCCCUUGCCACGACGGCGCACCAACGUGGCCACGGCCCUGGGCCGCACCCACGGUGGGCUCAGAUCUGUCGCCGGCGAUCCCCCGUGUGCGUUGUCACGAUGCCUAUGAGGAUUACCUUGUGGUCAAUGCAUCCAUGUGCAGCGCUAUGCCCAGCCAAUUGCAAGCUCCAUGGCUAAAUUAAGGCCACCUGAAGGAGCUCGUAGAUGCAUGUAAUGAAGGCCACAAUACAAAGGAGAUUUUGCAGGUGCACUAAAGUCAACACGUGUUGGUGACCCUUCUCACUUAGUUCAGACAGCCAAACUUGCGAAUGCCUGCAUUGUAAGUGGAAUUUUCUUUUCUUCUUUAUGUGUUUCAUGAUUUAUUGUGGUGCUCUUAAAUUGACGGCAUACAUAAAUAUUUCCUAAUAUUUUUAGAGCAUUUUUACCAUCCCACAAAAUCCUAAACUAUUAUUGUAUCACUAAUAGAGAGCAUAAAAUUUCAGUCAUGGCAAGAAUAAAAACACUUAGCCCAUUUUAGUACUUUCAUCUUGCUGAAAAUACUCUUUCUGUUGCCCACCUUUAUCUGCUAUAGCCCUGCAAUUGCCUAAUACAUCUGCAUUUUUUAGUGUUUUCAUCAUUGUCAAUAGAUUUCGGUUGGAACCAUUGUAUUUUUACAUGGUCAUGAUUCUACUGCUUUAAUACUUUUAUCUUGGUGGAAUUACUCUCUCUGCUUCACACCUUGGUGGUGCAACGUUUUUCUGCCAACCUGCAGGGUUCAAGUUGUUCAACUCCUUUUUGGAGGAUAUUGCUUGGUUGGAGAGUGUCAAGAGGGAGCUCCAGGACGUAGUUAGAUGCUAAUUGACCUUUUGCUAUUGGUAUUGUACUAUUGCUUCCUAAUUCCUUUUAAAAAUUGAUGCAGACUGUUCAGUAUCCUGUAGAGCAUCCGGACAAGUUUGAUAAGUUUGGCAUGUCUCCAUAAAAAGGAGUUCUGUUCUAUGGUCCUCGUGCUUGCAAAGACAAUUGUCAGUGAGUGCCAGGUUGUGUGUGCAUUGGGUGUUGGAUAACUUUAUGCCUUUGUUUUCCUAGUGGCCUAAAAGAUUGAGAUUGCUUACUGCUGCACCUGCAUCAUGCUAAGUAUGUCUCUGAUCAUGCAGUUCCGGAUACUAAUACAAUAUAUUUUUUGAGAAAUUUUCAAAUUGGCAGGAUAUAGGUAUUGAGGCCAUUGGGGACCUUUAGGUAACACAAUCAAAGCAAUGAGGCAAAAAUAUGUCGCUUACCUCUCUACACACAAAACAUACAGACAGAAAGCUAAAUAUGAUGCCAGUAAAAUGAUUGACACACAUGGCCUUCAACCUUUUAGUACAAAUUUUCCUGUGUGUGGUCAAAUUUACACAAUUCCUGGGAACAUUCCAUGACUUUUAGGAUUUUUUUUACACAAGAAUUCCUAAAUCACUAUUAUUUUCAUAGAGAAGUGUUUUAGAAAAUUAGUUUCCAUACGAGUCUACUUGCUGCUCUGUACACACAACCAUUUAACUUGCUGCUCCAAAUGUGCUAUCCAAACAUAGCAACCAAUAUUUUUUACAAUUAAUUUUGCCUACAAUGAAAAAUAGUAUGUGCUGCUUUCGGUAAGCGCCGAUCAUAGUACUCAGAUGAUGCCUAGCCAUAUCAAACCAAAUUUGGACAUUCUCUCCUUUCAUGUUAGUUUCUAACAUAUACUUGCUUACUGGACUUUGCAUGUUUUCCUUUGAUGAAUAAGCAGCUGCUGCUGAUACAUAUAACAAUGAUGGUUUCUAAUCUUUAAGGUCAGCUUUAUUCCUAACCCCCUCCCCUUUAGAUUUAUAUUGUUACAUUGUUUUUUGUGAUUUCUAGAUUAGGUUUCAGGUUUUUACAUGUAUACCUUUAUAGUGCUCGAUUGCAUUACGGGUCUUCGGUAAGAGAACAUAUAGGGGAACUAUUUCAAUGAGGCGUUGUUAAUUAACAUGUAUAGUUAUAGCUGCUACCACGAAAAAAAUAACUCUUUGUUCCAAGAAAAAUCUCAGGAAGAUAUAUUUUAAUCAUGAAAUGUGGGACUCAUCCUUUGUUGUAUUAUAUGUACCUACUCAAUCCCAGAGUUCAGUGUAGAUAGACUUCAAGGUGGACAGACCGGAUUCUCAUGGCAGCAAGUUCAACAGAGAUAGUUUACCUCUGACCUUUCUACAACAACAUUAAGUCCACUACACCACAACACUGUCUCCUCUUCUGAAACUGUGAAGUUCCAUUUUAGAGAUCACUAGGAAAACAGGGUUGGAUUAACAGUACAGGUUCCUUUGCAUCUUUAAAUGCCUACGUCAUACAAACACAUUGAAGUUGUUGCGCAUGUUGUUAGCCUAAGCUAUAUUCUGAGAGGCAUCUUGGGGACUUGAGACAUCGACACCAUAACAACAGAGAUAAAAGCUGCUAUAAAUAUGUCAACAAUAGCAGUUGCAUGCUCCACAACAGCUGAAGCCAAGGGCACUCCCAAUGCAAGACUCUAUCAUAGAGUCCAAGACAAUUAAUUACAUAUUAUUUAUGAUAUUUUGCUGAUGUGGCACCAUAUUUAUUGAAGAAAGAGGUAGAAAAAAUAAGACUCCAAGUCUUAUUUAGACUCCAAGUCCACAUUGUUCGAGAUAAUAAAUAACUUUAGACUCCAUGAUAGAGUCUGCAUUGUGAGUGCCCUUAGAUGUUGGGUUGCUAGCAUUUAAAACUAUAGAGAUCAACACCUCCUAGCCCAGAAGCCCUAUCCACGUGAGCUUUAAUUACUACAGCCGUCUGAUGCCUUCGAUUAGUGGCCCGGAUUAGCCGCUUUCAGAAUUUAUUAGAAUCUGAUUCAGUUGUCGCUGACUGGAAUCGACCCGAUUCUUUUUGGCUGGGCCUGAUUCGGUUGUUGCUGACUACAGCUGCCAGAUUCCAGCGGAACCACACCGGACCCAUAGGCUGAUAAAUUUGGACAUUUUACUGUGAACAUCAGCUGGUCUGUUAGCUUUAGCCAGAAGCUCUGUAUCCAAAAUGUAUAGUAUACACCAGUAGUUCUCUAUUAGAGCAUUAGUGUUUAUACAAAUAGUGAAAACUCUGCUAAGACCUUGUGUAAUAUAAGACAUCUGAAACUC